rnacentral:rRNA from 1 species
GAGUUUGAUCAUGGCUCAGAGCGAACGCUGGCGGCAGGCCUAUCACAUGCAAGUCGAGCGCCCGUAGCAAUACGGGAGCGGCAGACGGGAGAGUAACACGUGGGAACGCGCCCUUCGGUUCGGAAUAACUCAGGGAAACUUGAGCUAAUACCGGAUACGCCCUUACGGGGAAAGAUUUAUUGCCGAAGGAACGGCCCGCGUCCGAUUAGCUUGUUGGUGAGGUAAUGGCUCACCAAGGCGACGAUCGGUAGCUGGUCUGAGAGGAUGACCAGCCUCACUGGGACUGAGACACGGCCCAGACUCCUACGGGAGGCAGCAGUGGGGAAUAUUGGACAAUGGGCGCAAGCCUGAUCCAGCCAUGCCGCGUGGGUGAUGAAGGCCCUAGGGUUGUAAAGCCCUUUCGGCGGGGAAGAUAAUGACGGUACCCGCAGAAGAAGCCCCGGCUAACUUCGUGCCAGCAGCCGCGGUAAUACGAAGGGGGCUAGCGUUGCUCGGAAUUACUGGGCGUAAAGCGCACGUAGGCGGCUUGUUA